AUGAUCUUUGCUACAAACUACUAUAUAUGUAUUCGAUGAUGGAUUAUUAAUUACCUAUUAGGAAAUGUCUGACGACGAAAGGGAAUUCGCUAUGUGCGAGUACUGCAAAGAUGAGCGCGAUCUGUGCGACAGGCCUCACUUGGUAGAAGGUCGGCGCUUCAGCAUCAAGCUCCAAGAGACCUUCGAUGUUGAAACGCUUAUCCCAUGCCAUGCAAGACACUAUGUCUAGGAGAAGAUGGGUUUUGAAGAUCAUGAAAGAAUGGAGACAAAGAUAAUUUAACUAAGGACUCAUCAUGGUUAUAAUUUUGCUGUAAAUCUAUACAAUUCUGUGAACUCAUCCAAUUUUGGUUGCCUGAAUUGGGAAGCCCUUUGCAAGGCGUAUGAUUUUCAUGAGGGUAUGCUUCUCACCUUCGAUCUUUGUGAUCUUAACAUCGACGAAAAUGAUAUGACCAUUUGGGUCCUUGUUGACACGCUUCCAGUUCUAUCGCUGUCUUAUUUUCAUUCUUCAAAAAAUGUAUGAAAAAUGGUAGACAGAACCUACUA